UACGAAGGGGGCUAGCGUUGCUCGGAAUCACUGGGCGUAAAGCGCACGUAGGCGGAUUGCUAAGUCAGGGGUGAAAUCCUGGAGCUCAACUCCAGAACUGCCUUUGAUACUGGCGACCUUGAGUCCGGGAGAGGUGAGUGGAACUGCGAGUGUAGAGGUGAAAUGCGUAGAUAUUCGCAAGAACACCAGUGGCGAAGGCGGCUCACUGGCCCGAUACUGACGCUGAGGCACGAAAGCGUGGGGAGCAAACAGG
rnacentral:rRNA from 1 species